AGUAAAUGGGCUUGGAAAUUUGGAAUACGUGAAAUUCAAUUCAGCCGGUGAGAUGGAAUUUGUCGAGCCACGAGUACACAAGACGAAAUGGCAUCGUGACAUAGCCGCUGCAAAAUGUAUCCUGAUCAAAGGACACUGUGACUUGUUUGGGUACACAUUACCCGAAACAUUGUAGUGGCCAUCCAACCAGCGAGCUGUUGUCAACAACUAACCAGCAUCAUGUAUUUCACGCCAUUUACAUUGAAUAAUUUAAAAAUUAAAAUAUAACAUUAUGCCUGAUUGUUGUGGUAUAAUAGGCGUACAUACUUAACUAGGGAGGCCAGAAGUACCCAUGUAUAUACGUAUACUUACAAUUAAAUCAUCUGUUGUCAACACAGUUUGGUUCGAUCUAUCGUGGUAUUGUUUCUGAUUAUUUGAAUUUUUUAGAUCGUCUUUCCGUUCAAUUGAGUGGUUACUACUUUCAAUCGU